rnacentral:rRNA from 1 species
AGAGUUUGAUUAUGGCUCAGGAUGAACGCUAGCGACAGGCUUAACACAUGCAAGUCGAGGGGCAGCAUAAAAGUAGCAAUACUUUGGUGGCGACCGGCGCACGGGUGAGUAACGCGUAUGCAACCUACCUAUCAGAGGGGAAUAACCCGGCGAAAGUCGGACUAAUACCGCAUAAAACAGGGGCACCGCAUGGUGAUAUUUGUUAAAGAAAUUCGCUGAUAGAUGGGCAUGCGUUCCAUUAGGUAGUUGGUGAGGUAACGGCUCACCAAGCCGACGAUGGAUAGGGGAACUGAGAGGUUGGUCCCCCACACUGGUACUGAGACACGGACCAGACUCCUACGGGAGGCAGCAGUGAGGAAUAUUGGUCAAUGGGCGGGAGCCUGAACCAGCCAAGUCGCGUGAAGGAAGAAGGAUCUAUGGUUCGUAAACUUCUUUUGCAGGGGAAUAAAGUGCAGGACGUGUCCUGUUUUGUAUGUACCCUGAGAAUAAGGAUCGGCUAACUCCGUGCCAGCCGCCGC